rnacentral:rRNA from 1 species
AUUGAACGCUGGUGGCAUGCCUUACACAUGCAAGUCGAACGGUAACGGGUCCUUCGGGAUGCCGACGAGUGGCGAACGGGUGAGUGAUAUAUCGGAACGUGCCCAGUAGUGGGGGAUAACUGCCCGAAAGAGCAGCUAAUACCGCAUACGACCUGAGGGUGAAAGGGGGGGAUCGCAAGACCUCUCGCUAUUGGAGCGGCCGAUAUCAGAUUAGCUAGUUGGUGGGGUAAAGGCCUACCAAGGCAACGAUCUGUAGUUGGUCUGAGAGGACGACCAGCCACACUGGGACUGAGACACGGCCCAGACUCCUACGGGAGGCAGCAGUGGGGAAUUUUGGACAAUGGGCGCAAGCCUGAUCCAGCAAUGCCGCGUGCAGGAAGAAGGCCUUCGGGUUGUAAACUGCUUUUGUCAGGGAAGAAAUCUUCUGGGCUAAUACCCCGGGAGGAUGACGGUACCUGAAGAAUAAGCACCGGCUAACUACGUGCCAGCAGCCGCGGUAAUACGUAGGGUGCGAGCGUUAAUCGGAAUUACUGGGCGUAAAGCGUGCGCAGGCGGCUUUGCAAGACAGAUGUGAAAUCCCCGGGCUCAACCUGGGAACUGCAUUUGUGACUGCAAGGCUAGAGUACGGCAGAGGGGGAUGGAAUUCCGCGUGUAGCAGUGAAAUGCGUAGAUAUGCGGAGGAACACCAAUGGCGAAGGCAAUCCCCUGGGCCUGUACUGACGCUCAUGCACGAAAGCGUGGGGAGCAAACAGGAUUAGAUACCCUGGUAGUCCACGCCCUAAACGAUGUCAACUGGUUGUUGGACGGCUUGCUGUUCAGUAACGAAGCUAACGCGUGAAGUUGACCGCCUGGGGAGUACGGCCGCAAGGUUGAAACCCAAAGGAAUUGACGGGGACCCGCACAAGCGGUGGAUGAUGUGGUUUAAUUCGAUGCAACGCGAAAAACCUUACCUACCCUUGACAUGUCAAGAAUUCUGCAGAGAUGUGGAAGUGCUCGAAAGAGAACUUGAACACAGGUGCUGCAUGGCCGUCGUCAGCUCGUGUCGUGAGAUGUUGGGUUAAGUCCCGCAACGAGCGCAACCCUUGUCAUUAGUUGCUACGCAAGAGCACUCUAAUGAGACUGCCGGUGACAAACCGGAGGAAGGUGGGGAUGACGUCAGGUCCUCAUGGCCCUUAUGGGUAGGGCUACACACGUCAUACAAUGGCCGGUACAGAGGGCUGCCAACCCGCGAGGGGGAGCCAAUCCCAGAAAACCGGUCGUAGUCCGGAUCGUAGUCUGCAACUCGACUGCGUGAAGUCGGAAUCGCUAGUAAUCGCGGAUCAGCUUGCCGCGGUGAAUACGUUCCCGGGUCU